rfam:Gossypium raimondii Chr04_contig_725, whole genome shotgun sequence.
AUCCCGUGAUGAAGGCAUCUACGUAGUAACUCAUUGAAUAUUUCCCAUGCCUCGUAUAAGGACUCGUCAUUCAAUUGUUAAAAAGUGGUGAUCUCAUUCCACAACUU